UUGAACGCUAGCGGGAUGCUUUACACAUGCAAGUCGCACGGCAGCGCGGACUUCGGUCUGGCGGCGAGUGGCGAACGGGUGAGUAAUGUAUCGGAACGUGCCCAGUAGCGGGGGAUAACUACGCGAAAGCGUAGCUAAUACCGCAUACGCCCUACGGGGGAAAGCAGGGGAUCGUAAGACCUUGCACUAUUGGAGCGGCCGAUAUCGGAUUAGCUAGUUGGUGAGGUAACGGCUCACCAAGGCGACGAUCCGUAGCUGGUUUGAGAGGACGACCAGCCACACUGGGACUGAGACACGGCCCAGACUCCUACGGGAGGCAGCAGUGGGGAAUUUUGGACGAUGGGAGCAACCCUGAUCCAGCCAUCCCGCGUGUGCGAUGAAGGCCUUCGGGUUGUAAAGCACUUUUGGCAGGAAAGAAACGUCGCGGGCUAAUACCCCGUGGAACUGACGGUACCUGCAGAAUAAGCACCGGCUAACUACGUG
rnacentral:rRNA from 1 species